UAUAGGUACGUGCGUAUCUGGCUAUUUACGGCACCGAUUUAUAAGUAAAAAACUGUGACCGUUUUUUUCACAGCGUGCUCGAAGUCGGUGUGUGCAUCAUGGGACCUAAAAAGAAAACAAAUCUAUUUUAUGGUAAAGCUAAAUCUUAUUUAGUUUGUAAUUUUCCAAUACCAGCUCAUUUAAAUAUGGGCUGUAGAAAUGGACAUGUACUGCAUAUAUUGGCAACUAACAAUGAUUCAUACCAAGUAACUGUAGAACUAAUCAGUAAGUAUUUUAACAUCAACAUUUUUCCCAAUCAGAUUCUGCAACUAGUUAGAAAAUCAAAAGUCUUUGUAAAAGCUUUUUCACGAAAUUCAAAACAAUUUAUUGACAUCUGCAACAUGCUCUUUGAAUACCAACCAACAACAUCUGCUGUGACUCAAACAUCACAGUUAAUCACAACCUCUAAUCACAUUGCUACGUGUUCUUCAUUUUUUUCUCAGUAAAUCACUGUUUCGUCUCUAUCAAAUAGUGACUCUUCUCAAGAAUCAUUAUCCAGGUUGAGAGCUGACCAGGUUAGUCCCAGGAAAAAGAUUAUGAGAAAGAGAUUAACCAUUUUGGAAAACGAAAUCGCAAUUAAAAAGAGAAAACAUAAAGAAGAUCUUAAAGGUUUAAGAGAAAAGGCAAAGGCUAGACCAUACAGAUUAAAAUAUCUAAAUCAAGUUAUUGCUCGUAAGGAAAAGAUAAUUCAUCAACUUAAAAAAAAAUUAAAAGAAAAUUUUUUAAAUAUACAGUUAAAAAAACUUCAAAAUCAAAUUUUUUAUUUGAAACAACAGUUAACAUUCACCGAAACCAAGUUUUUUAAUCAAAAGACAAUGUUAUCCCAACAACUUGCUGACAAAAAUUCUGCAAUUCUUGUACUUCAAAAUGACAUACUGGUUUUACAGGAAAAGUUAGAAGAUAUUCAGCAAGUAACACAAAACACC